UGUGUAGGUGGCGCGCUAAGUCGGGUGUGAAAUUUCGGAGCUUAACUCCGAAACUGCAUUCGAUACUGGCGUGCUUGAGGACUGGAGAGGAGACUGGAAUUUACGGUGUAGCAGUGAAAUGCGUAGAUAUCGUAAGGAAGACCAGUGGCGAAGGCGGCCAUCUGGACCGGUUCUGACGCUGAGGCGCGAAAGCGUGGGGAGCAAACA
rnacentral:rRNA from 1 species